rnacentral:rRNA from 1 species
CCUACGGGUGGCAGCAGUGAGGAAUAUUGGUCAAUGGGCGGGAGCCUGAACCAGCCAAGCCGCGUGCAGGAAGAAGGCGCCAGGCGUCGUAAACUUCUUUUGUCGGGGAACAAAGGGCGCCACGCGUGGCGUUGUGAGUGUACCCGAAGCAAAAGCAUCGGCUAACUCAGUGCCAGCAGCCGCGGUAAUACUGAGGAUGCGAGCGUUAUCUGGCUUUAUUGGGUUACAAGGGUGCGGAGGCGGUCCGGAAAGUCAGCGGGAAAAACCCGGGGCUCAGCCCCGGCGAGCCGUUGAAACUGUCGGACUAGAGACGGCGAGAAGUACGCGGAAGUCGCGGUGUAGCGGUGAAAUGCAUAGAUAUCGCGCAGAACUCCGAUUGCGAAGGCAGCGGACCGGCGCCGGACUGACGCUGAGGCACGAAAGCGUGGGUAUCGAACAGGAUUAGAUACCCGGGUAGUC